rnacentral:rRNA from 1 species
UACGAGGGGGGCGAGCGUUGUUCGGAAUUAUUGGGCGUAAAGGGUGCGUAGGCGGUUUGGCAAGUCUGAUGUGAAAUCUAUGGGCUCAACUCAUAGUCUGCAUCGGAAACUGCCGGGCUUGAGUGUGGGAGAGGUGAGUGGAAUUCCUGGUGUAGCGGUGAAAUGCGUAGAUAUCAGGAGGAACACCUGUGGCGAAAGCGGCUCACUGGACCAUAACUGACGCUGAUGCACGAAAGCUAGGGGAGCAAACAGG